UGGAGGCUGGCUACCAGAAGAGCUUAAGAAGAACCUGAGGACUUAACCUAAAAUUGUAAACUGUUAAAUGACAAACGAUUUCUGAAGAUAAAAUAAGCUACGAUUAUUUGGACUGUGGAAAAUGAGUUGCUGUGAUCUUCAAAGUACAUGAAGCACUACCAGAGAUUUAAGUGCCUCUGCGUGUCAGGUGCCAUGGUACAAAGACCCCUCAAGAUACUCCUAGUCCAAGAAUCUCUGCAUUGAGAGGUAUGAGCUGAACUCUUCCAAUGAGAAUCCAGUGCAUAGAAAAAUCUGGCUAAACUGAAAUUAAAUUCAUUAUAGUGUAAUUUGCAAGUCAUACAAAUAGAGUCUUUAUUUCUGGACAAUCGAUUUGUGCCUAAUUUUAAAGUUCAUUUCAGCCCUCCGUUGCUUUCACAGUCUCAAUGGUCAUAAAGAUGUAUCUGAUUUCAAGGAAAUACUUGAGCGUAUUCCAGAAAUUACAUCUACCAAAGCAUUAAUUCAGUCAUCUUAGUUUCACAUCAUCAAACACAAUUUGAGUUGACAUAUAUAUUUAAGACAGACAACACAAUAAUUCAUUGAACAAGCACUUAAGUACUGACCAUAUCACACAUGUGAUGGACAUUAGAAAUAUAGGAGUGUACAAGACAGACAUAGUUCCUUAUGUUCCAGUAGGAAACAGACUGAAAGAGAAAUGAACAUGUAUAAUUGCAAAUUAUGCUAAAUAAAGUACACUGACAACAGAAAGUCCAGCUUUAGGGCAGUCAGGAAAGACCUCCUACAAGAUGACGAUUAAGCCAGAAAGAGAGGCUCUGAGGUAGCCAACAGGGAGUGAGGAAAACGAAGAAUAUUCCCUUCAGAGGAAAUUGUGCGAGCAGGCGAGAACUUGGUGGAAAUAAAGGCUUAUAAAACAGGAUGGAGAGGUAUGCAGUGGCUUCAUAGGUGAAGGUAUGGGCUUUGGAUUUUAUUUUAAUUCAACAGCAAUUGAUUGAAGUUUUAUUAAUGUAAUUUAUAUUUAACUUUUUAUUAAUGGGGACUUAUAGAGACAUACAAAGGUAAGCAGAAUAGUAUAAAGAACCCCCAUCACCCAAUUUCAACAAUUGUUUCAUCUGUAUCCCCACCAACUCUUCCCCUACUAGACUAUUUGGAAGCAAAUCCCAGAUAAAAGAUUUCAUAUGAAAUAUUCCCAUAUAUAUCUUUAAAACAUAAGGACUUCAGAAAAUUAUCUCACCAAGAAACUAUUAAUUCCAAAUGUCCUCCAUUAUUUUGUGUUUUAUUUCCACUUUGAUCUUAUUAAGAUCCAAGUAAGGCCCAUACAGUGCAAUUGGUUGAUAUACAUCUGAUUCCGUCGUGUUUCCUAACCCUCCCUUCUUGUUUGUUGUUGCCUUGCAAUUUAUUUACUGAAGAAACCAGAUGAUUUGUCCUGUCUCCCACAUUCUUCACUUUACUGAUUGCAAUUUGACAUGUUUCCUUGUAUUUUGUAUUUCUCAUAAACUGAUUUAGAGGGCCAGUCAGAUUAAGGUGUGAUUUUUUGGGGGGGGGGCAAUACUUUAUAUAUUGUUAGGUACUUCCAAACCUCCAGUUAUCUUAUGAUAUUAACUGCCAUUGAUGAUCAUUGCCUAGAUACAGUAUCUCACUGGGGUUGCAAAGUGGUGAUACUCUCAUUUAUUAGCUGAAAUAUUUCUAUAUACUUCCAUUCAUCAGUAAUUUGGUUACCCUGAGGUUGUUUCUAUUAAAAGGGCAGGAUAAAUGCUUGAUUCUUUCCCUUCACUCACUAGUUAGUAUAUAAAAUAAGGAACUGGUUUAACAGUAUCCUCCAAAGGUGGUUUUGAGGGGGUUUAUUCUAGUAUCAUUAUGAAUUAAUGAAUUUUAAUACAGUUUGUUCAACUCAUUGCCAGUCCUUCUCAAAGAGAGUCUAAUUGUCUUACCUUUGUGAUUUACAUUUUAAAAACACUGGUUCUGCAGCUGGUGGAAAAUAGCUUAAAUGAGAACAAGAGUUGAUGGGAAGGCAAGUUAGUUUACUGUAGUGGUCUUGGAGAAAGACAGUGGUAAUCCAACAUACCUUCCACCAGGGUGAAGGCAGUAAAGCUGCUGAUGGAUUGGAUAUGAAGAGAGAGGAAAAAGGAGUAACUGAAACUAGAGGCUUGAGCAACUGCAUCUCCAACCUGGCUGCUCCUGAAAAACACUGGACACCUUUUGUUUCAUUGGCCCAGAAGAGGGAAAAACUUCUGUUAUAUGACUAUGCUGCGAUACCGUGAUGUAUUCAGGGUCAACAUCCCUUUAGAGGUAAGGGCUCCAGACACCUAUACUAAGCCACUCAACUCUUGUGAUUUACUUAUUCUGUGUUCACUUUUAAGUUUUUGAAGUUUCUUGAUGUCCAGUCUAUCAGCUACCACUGCUCACUACUGUCUGCC